GUCGAGCGGUAAGGCCUUUCGGGGUACACGAGCGGCGAACGGGUGAGUAACACGUGGGUGAUCUGCCCUGCACUUCGGGAUAAGCCUGGGAAACUGGGUCUAAUACCGGAUAUGACCUCAGGUUGCAUGACUUGGGGUGGAAAGAUUUAUCGGUGCAGGAUGGGCCCGCGGCCUAUCAGCUUGUUGGUGGGGUAAUGGCCUACCAAGGCGACGACGGGUAGCCGACCUGAGAGGGUGACCGGCCACACUGGGACUGAGACACGGCCCAGACUCCUACGGGAGGCAGCAGUGGGGAAUAUUGCACAAUGGGCGAAAGCCUGAUGCAGCGACGCCGCGUGAGGGAUGACGGCCUUCGGGUUGUAAACCUCUUUCAGCAGGGACGAAGCGCAAGUGACGGUACCUGCAGAAGAAGCACCGGCUAACUACGUGCCAGCAGCCGCGGUAAUACGUAGGGUGCAAGCGUUGUCCGGAAUUACUGGGCGUAAAGAGUUCGUAGGCGGUUUGUCGCGUCGUUUGUGAAAACCAGCAGCUCAACUGCUGGCUUGCAGGCGAUACGGGCAGACUUGAGUACUGCAGGGGAGACUGGAAUUCCUGGUGUAGCGGUGAAAUGCGCAGAUAUCAGGAGGAACACCGGUGGCGAAGGCGGGUCUCUGGGCAGUAACUGACGCUGAG
rnacentral:rRNA from 1 species